CUCCCGGGCAGAGUAAGCAGAGCCCAGCGCAGAGGAGACUCAGAUGAGAAGAGCUGCCUGGAAGAGGGUUAGAGCACCAGAGGCCUGGGAAGGAAGAAUGCUCUCCAGCCUGGAUCCUUGGAUCACGGACACAGACUUGCAGAUGACUGUUCUUGCAACCUAACCUCUCUCCCAGGUUGAUUCUACAAAGCAGGGAGCGUGGAUGGGGAACCCAGGUGCUGCAAACACCUUGGAGGCAAAGAUCAUUUCCAGGGCAGUAGGUAAACGCCGGGUCAGUGUGGUUAAACCAGGUCAGUGAGUGAGUGUGACUAAAACCAGAGAUCCAGCCAGGAGAAGAGGGCUAGGGCUUACCUUUGACCUUCUCCAAAGCCAGCUCUCCACUCAGACACUGCAUGCCAAGCUCAACAGCCCAACCAGGAAGGUAUCAGGGUCCACUUUCACAGAUAAGGAAAAUGGUGUUUAAAGGUCUAAUAUAGCUGCAAAGUGCCAGAGCUCAGACUAUGCUAGGUCUUG
rnacentral:lncRNA from 1 species